CCCCUAGAUGUUCUGGGCCGCACGCGCGCUACACUGAACAGUUCAACAAGUCUUAACCUUGGCCGAUAGGUCUGGGUAAUCUUUGAACGCUGUCCGUGAUUGGGAUAGACCUUUGCAAUUAUGGGUCUUCAACGAGGAAUUCCUAGUAAACGCAAGUCAUCAGCUUGCAUUGAUUACGUCCCUGCCCUUUGUACACACCGCCCGUCGCACCUACCGAUUGAAUGGUCCGGUGAAAUCUCGGGACGGCGGCUCGGUCGCUUGCGUCCGACUGCUGAAACUUGAUUAAACCAUAUCAUUUAGAGGAAGGUGAAGUCGUAACA
rnacentral:rRNA from 1 species